GGUAAUACGGAAGGUGGCGAGCGUUGUUCGGAAUCACUGGGGCUUAAAGCGUGUGUAGGCGGACUGUCAAGCGUUUUGUGAAAGCCCUCGGCUUAACCGGGGAAUUGCUUGACGAACUGAUAGUCUUGAGGCAGGUAGGGGCAACUGGAACUCUUGGUGGACCGGUGGAAUGCGUAGAUAUCAAGAGGAACGCCAGAGGCGAAGGCGAGUUGCUGGGCCUGUCCUGACGCUGAGACACGAAAGCCAGGGGAGCGAACGGGAUUAGAUACCCCGGUAGUCCUGGCCCUAAACGAUGUCCACUAGAUCGGAGGCACUCUGACGUGUUUCUGGUCGAAAUGAAAACGGUAAGUGGACCGCCUGGGGAGUACGGUCGCAAGGCUAAAACUCAAAGGAAUUGACGGGGGCUCACACAAGUGGUGGAGCAUGUUGCUUAAUUCGAUGCAACGCGAAGAACCUUAUCCUAGGCUUGACAUAUACGAAUGCCUACUGGGAAGCCAGGUCGGCUGCCCUUCGGGGUGAAACGUAUACAGGUGCUGCAUGGCUGUCGUCAGCUCGUGUCGUGAGAUGUUGGGUUAAGUCCCGUAACGAGCGAAACCCUUGUCGUUAGUUGCCAGCGCGUAAUGGCGGGGACUCUAACGAGACUGCCGGUGUUAAACCGGAGGAAGGUGGGGAUGACGUCAAGUCCUCAUGGCCUUUAUGCCUAGGGCUGCAAACGUGCUACAAUGGCCGGUACAAAACGAAGCGAGACCGCGAGGUGGAGCAAAUCGUAAAAAACCGGCCCCAGUUCGGAUUGGAGUCUGCAACUCGACUCCAUGAAGUUGGAAUCGCUAGUAAUCGCGUAUCAGCGUGACGCGGUGAAUGUGUUCCUGAGCCUUGUACACACCGCCCGUCAAGUCAUGGAAG
rnacentral:rRNA from 1 species